GCCAGAUCAGACAGAUGAAUGAAGCCACAGAGCUCUGGCCGCUGGAGCGUGCAGCGAACGUGUAGAUGGGAUCUUUGACUGCCGCACCGUCCGUGCAUCAGUUGAAUGCGGAAUCGUUUUUUUGUUGCUCGUUGCCGUCUGUGGGUGUUCUGGGCGGAUGGGUGUUCUGCUUGCGGCCCUUCAUAUUGUUAUUUUCUGGAAGUUUGAGUGACGCUCCGUCGCAAUCUGGUUGCGGAAGUGAAGCGCUUUCGUUCGUCAGGUGGCGUUUAGAUUUGUGGGACUACCAAUCGUCCGGGUCAACGUUACCAGAAUAGCAGACGCCGGACAGGAACCACCCGGCCGUUAUCGGGAGCAGGUGCUUCUCCCUGGCUUGAAGUCAGGUAAGGUUCUCCCAUUCAGUCCCCGACAUUUCACUGAAUGUCUGCGCUGAGUUCUAGCAGUACAGCAGCCCUAACCCAUAACCAUGGUAACGAAUUAUUGGAAAAGGUUUCUGCUGAUGUACAGUACUCCGUGUCGUGUGCUCACAUUUGUCCGCAUGCUAUUGUGUUGUUCGUAGUGAAGCGCAGCAACGGCAAUUCAAACGCGAAGGUAUUUUCGGCUGCUGCAAUAUCCACUCACUCACAAUCCGUGUGCUUUACAAACAGAGAAAAUUAGUCGAUGAAUAAUUUCGUCAAAUUCCAAAGGAAGGACUUCUUUCAAUUUGAAACGGUGACCAUUCAGCAGAAAAACUAAAUUUCACAUGUACAUGGUUAUGGCUCAUGAGUGCACAAUUAGUUACAGGGCUGCCACACUUGGAGGGAGAAAAAUCUGACGGGGUGCCGGGUUGUCCCCCGCUUGGGGGCAGGGGGUACGGCCCCCUUGGUGAAACUAUUUAGGAAAAUGGCUUGCUGUUGGGGCCCCAGAACACAUUUGUAACUGUGCAGCACACGUGCUACAACCAUGUCAAUUAUGAAUAAAUGGCCAACUGGACUAAAAAGCGCUCAAAAUAUAAUAAUCGGUUGUCCCUCUUUGCGGAACAAAAUCGGUUGCUUUGUCGGACAGGCGAUCAAAAAUCGGAGUAAGUGGCAGCCAUAAGUUAUAUUCAUUGCCAUUUUACGACUAUUGUCUCCUCGUAGGUUAUUGAAAUACUUUGAUCCGAUCUCUUUGUCAUUUUAGGGGGAAAUCCUUAUCUGUGUGCUCUUUGACCAACUGAGCACAUGAUAAUGACGUUGUUGGCUGAGGUUUGAGCUUUCUGUGAUAGAGGAGAGUGGAAUGGCAUUGAUGGUGGAAUUUAUUCGCAUAUUUGGCUUGGGGUGGACUUUGCUGUAAUCCCGCGCCUGAUUUGUGGCAGCUAGUUGAUGGAGUCUGGUAUGCUGGCGUUGCUCUCGCCCGGAGCUUUCCAAAGAGCCUAAGAUUGUGGAAAUGCAGUGAAGGAGGUCAAAGUUGUAGCCUGUUGAAGGUGUAAAUUGUGCAGAAAAUAUAAAUUCUGUUUCAUUCUGUGCUGGAAAUCAGUACAUAAAGGGAUAUUUAUUUAUUUUUCUUCGUUUUUUGUUUCCCUACCAUGGCUGGCUGCCGCCCCUCCCUCCAUAUUGGCCUAUAUUCUCUGGCCACGGGAAGGUGAAUAAAUAACUGAUGCAGCAUGCAUGGUGUGCGACAAUACCAUACCAGUAAAGAAGCUGGUCAAAUAGUGAAAUAGGGCUUUCAACGCAAGGAUCAUAACGUGAAGCAAGUUGGUAGGAUGAGUAUGUAUGCGAAGUGUAUGGAAGGAAUGCAUGCAAGGAGAGAGUGCAUGUUCCAAUACCACGUUAUGUGUGCGAACAAUUGGAAAAAUGAAGAAAAAAACCGAUAAGCUAGCACCACAGCAUAAUAAUAAUUACUCCGUAAAAUGUACCUGACCUGUCAGUGUGUGUUCAGGAUCAAACAUCGUGUUAUGUUUGAAAAAAUGACAAAAAUGAAAAUCUAGCACCAUACACCCUAACUACUCGAUUCAGCCUCUGGGAAAUCCAGAUAUAUAAUAAUUGGUUUACAAAUCAAUUGGCUGGAAAGCCCAGUGCCCUCCCUAUGCUUUGCUUUCACCUAGGUCAUCAUGCUUGUAACUUCAGUUUCCUAAUCAUCAAUUUCUAUAAAACUGAUAGAAACGUCUUUUCAAUAUGAUUAUCAAGUACAUCUUUAUGUAUGUUUUUUGCGAAGACGUUUCUAUUAGUUGCAUAGAAAAAGAGGAUUUCUUAUGGUAUGCAAGCUCCACUGCACAGCACAGCACUCCACAGCAAACGCGACGCAGCUCACCAGAUCAAGGUGUGGGUCCUCUUCCGGUGCCGAAAGGCGGGCUCACACCCCUACAUAGCUACUUCCCAUUGUCUAACCCCCACCAAAAAAACAUUGUUGGGCUUGGUGUGGGCUGUGCAGUAUUUCCGUUGGUACCUGCUUGGUAGAAAAUUUGAAUUUGUUAUAUGCACAGCGACCAUUCUCUGGAACAUUUGGCUAACUUUCAACAUCCACCGGCGAUUGUGGCUCGCUGGCUGGAAUUUUUGUCUGAAUGUGAGUUCACCAUUAUUGUACAGGGCAGGUCGAUCACACGCUAACGCUGGCAACAUCCCCACACCCCUCAUCCGCCGUUUCAACUGGCCGUGGUCAAGAUGGGAAACGGAACAGGAGAAGGACCGAGAUCUCGCCCAAGUAGUGUCCUGGCUAGGUAUGGACUCUCCGCCUUGCCCGCAGGAUAUGAUGGGUAGCAGUCCUGAGUGUUUGCUUUCUGCUUGGCAUAGAUAAGACCAGGACAACUGCGUACCAUCCACAGAGUGAUGGUCUGCUUGAAAGAUUCAACCCAACGCUUCAGCGUAGCCUGGCACACUAUGUCUGCAGGAAUCAUCGAGAUUGGGACAUCAAGUUGCCAGCCUUCUUGAUGGGAUACCGCUCGUUGCCGCAGACUAGUACCGGCUACAGUCCAAGCUAUCUACUCUUUGGUCAAGAGUUAUGCCUACCUCAAGACUUGGCAUCUGGAUUACCGCCAGGAGAAGCAUCCGCAGUAUCGUCACAGCCGGAAUUUGUGAGUGCUCUCCGCCGACGCCUGGAGGACGCUCAUGCACAGGUCCGGGAACACCUGGGCAACGUGCACCGUUAUCAAGCGCAUAUCCGUGAUCGCUACGCUAAGGCCUUGACGUUUGCAGCAGGUGACGCAGUGUGGCUUCUGGUGCCAACUAUACCGACGGGUUCACCCGCCAAGUUUGCUAGACUUUGGGACGGACCGUACCUAGUCGAGGAGAAGCUCUCAGCCGUCACCUACCCCAUCAAACUGUCUGAGCCCACGGCACGUCGGCUGAUAGUGCACGUCCACCGGCUGAAAAGUUGCCAUCAUCGACCGAGUCGGCUGCAGGAGGUUCACGAGCAAGAUGAGUCGGACCCACCGCAGCCCAUGGCAUCCACCCUGACUCCGUCCUACCAGCCUGAUGCCACUGAUACCGCCGCCCGAGACGAGGGGGACACCGCUCGGGUAUUUGGCAGUGCUCCGCCAGUUGGCGUGAUGGAAAGGCGAACUCCGCGUUCCCGCCAUCCGCCCCAGCUGUUUGGGAGUCCUGUGUGGCACGAGUAAGUGACUUCAGUGGUAUUGACUGGAUUAGUGGUGUUCGAUAUUACAGUUAGUCUUUGAACAGAUUUUGAUAAGAACUCCAAUUUGACCUGCACUCGUUUAGUUAAAUUGUUAGCCAUAAUCUUAGUCUAAUUUAUAACGUUAAACACGAGGACGUGUUCUUUUCCGUGUAAGCGGGGGGAUAUGUCGUAUCCAUACUAUUGACACGUGCCUUGUAGGCCUCUACGUGACAAGUCUGCCUUAUUUAGGUGUCUAAUUAUUUAUCUAUCUCCCAUAAACGGGUUCAUAAUCGUCUUUAUUUUAUGUCUUCACGCAAGGCCUGGGGCCUUCCUUAUUUGGUAUGCGCUGUUAUUUCCCCACCUAGCUCCCGCUCUUUAUGCAACAGUUUGUACACAUAUUUACUACGGUUUGAUACGCUAUUGCAUGCGGGACCAGCAAUUUGGUGGCCAUGGACUUCCAUGGCCGCAACUAGAUAGUAUUGCCAUCACCUUCCUUUUCUCUCUAUCUCUCUUGCCUUGUGCUCUUCAUUAUCUUCUCUUGUACUGAGUUACAUGUACCCUCCUGUGAAGAUGUGAGUAAACCUGAA